rnacentral:tRNA from 1 species
UUUAAGGUAAGCUAAGUCUAAGCUGUUGGGCUCAUAACCCAAAAAUAUGAAUUUCCUUAAAG